rnacentral:rRNA from 1 species
CACGUGAGAAUUUACCUUUAGGAGGGGAAUAACAGUUGGAAACGAUUGCUAAUGCCGCAUAUCAUUUAUAUGAAAGAAGAAAUUCGCCUAAAGAAAAGCUUGCGUCUGAUUAGCUAGUUGGUAAGGGUAAAGGCUCACCAAGGCGACGAUCCCUAGCUGGUUCGAGAGGAUGAUCAGCCACACUGGAACUGAGACACGGCCCAGACUCCUACGGGAGGCAGCAGUGGGGAAUAUUGCACAAUGGGCGCAAGCCUGAUGCAGCCAUGCCGCGUGUGUGAAGAAGGCUUUCGGGUUGUAAAG